GACGAACGCUGGCGGCGUGCUUAACACAUGCAAGUCGAACGAUGAAGCGCUGUCUUUUUGGUGGUGUGGAUUAGUGGCGAACGGGUGAGUAAUACGCGGGCAACCUGCCCCUCUGCUUCGGGAUAAGCUUUGGAAACGGGGUCUAAUACCGGAUGUGCCUGUCUGGUCGCAUGGCUGGGCGGGGGAAAGAUGUUUUUUGGCGGGGGAUGGGCUCGCCGGCCUAUCAGCUUGUUGGGGGGGGUGACGGCCUACCCAGGCCGCCGACGGGUAGCCGGGCUGAGAAGGUGGGCGGCCCCCCCUUAGGACUGAGAUACGGGCCCCAAACUCCUACGGGGAGGGAGGAGUGGGGGAUAAUUGCCAAAGGGCGCCAAGCCUGAUGCCGCGACCCCGCGUGGGGGAUGGAGGUUUUGGGUUGUAAACCCCUUUCGGGGGGGGACAAGGCUUCGUUUGGCGGGGUUGGGGGUACCCCUCAAAGAAGGCCCGGGUAACUUCGUGCCAGCGCCCCCGAAAUACGAGGGCGCGACGUUGCCCGGAAUUAUUGGGCUUAAGGGCUCGGAGGCGGGUUGUCGGGCUGCUGUGAAAAAGCGGGGUUCAAUCCUCCCUGCAGGGGUCCGGCAGGCUGGAGUUCUCAGGGUUUGCUGAAUCCUGGGUAACGGUGGAUGGCAGAUAUUAGGUAGAACUCGAUGCGAAGCAGGCCCUGGGCCGCACUACCUUUAGGGCGAACCUGGGAGGAACGGAUUUGAUUCCCUUGUAGUCAAGGGCGAAUCCACUUUGGUUCGCUCUGGGGAUCACUAGUCUUGAGCGGCCGACCGGGGAGCUCAAUCACCUAAGGGGUCGAUUACGCCGCUCACUGCGCUGUUUAAAAGU
rnacentral:rRNA from 1 species